GAUGAACGCUGGCGGCGUGCCUAAUACAUGCAAGUAGAACGCUGAAGGAGGAGCUUGCUCUUCUGGAUGAGUUGCGAACGGGUGAGUAACGCGUAGGUAACCUGCCUGGUAGCGGGGGAUAACUAUUGGAAACGAUAGCUAAUACCGCAUGACAACAGUUAUUGCAUGAUAACUGUUUAAAAGGUGCAACUGCUCCACUACCAGAUGGACCUGCGUUGUAUUAGCUAGUUGGUGAGGUAACGGCUCACCAAGGCGACGAAACAUAGCCGACCAGAGAGGGUGAUAGGCCAAACUGGGAGGGAGACACGGCCCAGACUCCUAGGGGAGGCAGCAGUAGGGAAUCUCCGGCAAAGGAAGGAAGGCUGACCGAGGGACGCCGCGUGAGUGAAGAAGGUUUUCGGAUCGUAAAGGUCGGUUGUACGAGAAGAACGAGUGUGAGAGUGGAAAGUUCACACUGUGACGGUAUCUUACCAGAAAGGGACGGCUAACUACGUG
rnacentral:rRNA from 1 species